rnacentral:rRNA from 1 species
GGAGGCAGCAGUAGGGGAAUAUUGCGCAAUGGGGGCGACCCUGACUGCAGCAAUGACCGCGUGGCAUGAAGAAGAGCCUUCGGGUCAGUAUAAGUCCUUUGUCACAAGUGAAGAUAAUGACAUUAACUUGUGAAUAAGCACCGGCUAACUCCGU